rnacentral:lncRNA from 10 species
UUUAAAAGGCUAAUUCGGGGUUGGGUACAUUAAUGUCAAUGUCCUAUAAAACUGCCAGCUAAAAAAAUGUCAGCAGAGACAUUUUUUCUAGCCGAUGUCAGCACAAAAGGCUGCCUCAGUUGUUUCAUCUCCAAACAGCUGCAUGCUUUCAUUGACAUUUGGUGACCUUUCUUUGUGCACCCGGCCUAACCUCUUAGGUUAUUUCCUGGCCUCCCUUCUGUGACCUUUGACCAAGGCCAACCUUUAGCUGGAGAAUGUGACAUUUUGUUCUCCUCUGGCUGACAUGUGAUGCUCUCAUUAUUCAAAGAUUACCUCCUUUUGAUAUCUCGGCUUAGAAGAAUACAGAAUGUGGCCACAUGUUACUCUUCUACCAAUGUCAGGAUAAAGCGUGCCUUAGGACCCCUCAAUGGAGAACUACGUCCAUUCCAUGCUCCUUCCAACUACCUUGAGAAAUGGCUCCAAAUUUUCCUUAAUAUUAUUCUGAAUUGCUCUAUGAAUUCCUCCAGAAAAUGUAAAAGAGCAACCGAACCGUCAACUGGUACAAUGACUUCUACACGUCAGACCUCGGCCACACCACAGCCAUCAGAUUAUUCUAUCACAGCGUCUCUCAACCGUGGAAUAUGGUCUCCAAGGGAAACAAGCCAGAGAGGGCUCAGGAGCAUUGCUAUAAAGCAGAAGGCAAAUGGAAAUCUUUCCCCAAAGGGCACACUAGGAUUGUUAGGUGAGGGCUGCUCAAUCCAUUAA